rnacentral:rRNA from 1 species
GUGGGGAAUAUUGCACAAGGGGGGAAACCCUGAUGCAGCGACGCCGCGUGAGUGAUGAAGUAUUUCGGUAUGUAAAACUCUAUCAGCAGGGAAGAUAAUGACGGUACCUGACUAAGAAGCUCCGGCUAAAUACGUGCCAGCAGCCGCGGUAAUACGUAUGGAGCAAGCGUUAUCCGGAUUUACUGGGUGUAAAGGGUGCGUAGGUGGCAGUGCAAGUCAGAUGUGAAAGGCCGGGGCUCAACCCCGGAGCUGCAUUUGAAACUGCGCGGCUAGAGUACAGGAGAGGCAGGCGGAAUUCCUAGUGUAGCGGUGAAAUGCGUAGAUAUUAGGAGGAACACCAGUGGCGAAGGCGGCCUGCUGGACUGUUACUGACACUGAGGCACGAAAGCGUGGGGAGCAAACAGGAUUAGAAACCCCAGUAGUCC